UACGGAGGGUGCGAGCGUUAAUCGGAAUUACUGGGCGUNAAGCGCGCGUAGGCGGUUUGUUAAGUCGGAUGUGAAAGCCCCGGGCUCAACCUGGGAACUGCACCCGAUACUGGCCGACUUGAGUGCGAGAGAGGGAGGUAGAAUUCCAUGUGUAGCGGUGAAAUGCGUAGAUAUAUGGAGGAAUACCGGUGGCGAAGGCGGCCUCCUGGCUCGACACUGACGCUGAGGUGCGAAAGCGUGGGUAGCAAACAGG
rnacentral:rRNA from 1 species